ensembl:lncRNA
GGACAUUGGUUCUGUUCAGGCUGAUGUGUGUCCAGAUGGACAUUGGUUCUGUUCAGGCUGAUGUGUGUCCAGAUAGACAUUGGUUCUGUUCAGGCUGAUGUGUGUCCAGAUGGACAUUGGUCCUGUUCAGGCGGAUGUGUGUCCAGAUAGACAUUGGUCCUGUUCAGGCUGAGUGCUGAUGUGUGUCCAGGUGGACAUUGGUUCUGUUCAGGCUGAGUGCUGAUGUGUGUCCAGACAGACAUUGGUUCUGUUCAGGCUGAGUGCUGAUGUGUGUCCAGACAGACAUUGGUUCUGUUCAGGCUGAUUGCUGAUGUGUGUCCAGAUGGACAUUAUUUACAUGUCAGUUUAUUUCAAUGAUGAUUCCCAUCAAGAGAUACGAUCUCUUGAUUUGACCGAGUGUCUCUACAAGGGGUGGUGUGUCUCUACAAGGGGUGGUGUGUAUGAAGACAUGUAACGUAUACGAAAUAGGUUUUAAGUGAAGAAAGUGAUUUACAAGGAAUGAAUUAUGAUCUGCAUCCUAAAUGGCACCAUAUUCCCUACGUAGUGCACUUCUUUUGAACAGGACCCAUAGGGCUCUGGUCAAAAGUAGUGCACUAUAUAGGGAAUAGGUAUUGGUACGCAGCCAUGAUGAAAGGUAGGAAUCUAAACUGUUGUUUUGCUCAUAUGAUGUACGAAGGAAGAAACUAGAAGUUGAGUGACACAGUGUCCAUUUUUAUUUUCCUUAUAAACACCUAGAACUGAGGAAACAGACCAGCUCACUAAAAGUUGUUCUUCUCUUCAACAUAAAUAUGCAGACUUCCUUUGAAAACGGAAUCACAACGCAAACAAGUGUGCGUCGGAAAUGUCACCCUAUUCCCUACGUAGUGCACUACUUUUGACCAGGGCUCUGGUGCACUAGGGAUCAGGAUGGCAUUUCAGACAGGUUCAGAGUCAUUUUGUAAAUACAUUUUUUUCAGACUCAAGUGACUGCAAAUUGUGUCUUUUCUCUCGCAACCACAAAACAUGAGGGACAAUCUUCACAACAUCAACAAAGGAAAAGAUGAGGCAACACCAUGUUUUCUUAAAGCAUUUCCAAUAAUAUGAAACCGAAACAGUUAUUUUGUGUUAAUAAUACAGUUUUAUCCAGCAAAUAAAAAGCACUUUGGUCAUCUUCACACAGACUGAGCCACGGCAAAAAGUACCAAAGCAAUAACAACUACAAUGGUUUGUGUGACAUUGAAACACGUAACAUUGUUUCCGUACACUACUUUAAAGUGCACAUGUUCAGGCAUUCCGAACUGUAGCGACGAACAUCGACUGUGUGAACAGCGACUAAGACCUGGGACCUCUUCGUUCCAACUAUAAUACAAACACGUUGUGUGUUGCGCUACGAGUUAUUGCUUGAAAUACAGUCUAACCAUUGAAUUAACUCAAAUGCGCUGUGAGAAAACCACGUAACGUAAAACAGUAAACGAGGGAAGGAGGGCGAGAAAAAGCAACAUGUUGACGAGGUUGUGAUGACGGCUGCAACGUAAAACAGUAAACAAGGGAAGGAGGGCGAGAAAAAGCAACAUGUUGACGAGGUUGUGAUGACGGCUGCAACGUAAAACAGUAAACGAGGGAAGGAGGGCGAGAAAAAGCAACAUGUUGACGAGGUUGUGAUGACGGCUGCAACGUAAAACAGUAAACGAGGGAAGGAGGGCGAGAAAAAGCAACAUGUUGACGAGGUUGUGAUGACGGCUGCAACGUAAAACAGUAAACGAGGGAAGGAGGGCGAGAAAAAGCAACAUGUUGACGAGGUUGUGAUGACGGCUCACAGGCCUGAAUAGCAGUAUUUCAACCAGACUGCACACGUCACUGUGUCUGGUUUACAAAAUAGGGUUGGGAGUACAGAAGCCAAUACUGAAUGGUAUCACCAUAAAAGGUCGCGACCCCACUCCCUCAGGGUCUCAGUAUGUAAGAAACACAUUUCCAUUACAGACUUGUACAAGUGUGUACCAGGACAAACAUAAACACCUCCCCCCAAAUGAUCAUUAUACGAGUAACAUAGUUAACAAUGUUCAGCCACACACCGUUUUGCUAGCGGGCCUGGAUGUCUCAAUUUCACAUAUAGAAUACUAACCCAGAUAUGUUGGCUAGGUUUACAUAUUCCCAGCCAGUACAGUACAUCCCUUCUAGCCAAUACAGUACUGUACCUCUCAUCUAGCCAGUACUGUACCUCUCAUCUAGCCAGUACAGUACCUCUCAUCUAGCCAGUACAGUACCUCUCAUCUAGCCACCAGUACAGUACCUCCCAUCCAGCCAGUACAGUACCUCCCAUCUAGCCAGUACAGUACCUCCCAUCUAGCCAGGACAGUACAGUACCUCCCAUCUAGCCAGGACAGUACAGUACCUCCCAUCUAGCCAGG